AACGAACGCUGGCGGCGUGCCUAACACAUGCAAGUCGAGCGAGAAGGUCCCUUCGGGGGCGAGUAGAGCGGCGGACGGGUGAGUAAUACGUGGAUAAUCUCCCCUUUAGCCUGGGAUAACCCUGCGAAAGUGGGGCUGAUACCGGAUAAGACCACAUAGCAUAUGUUACGUGGUAGAAGGUGGCUUGUAUUUAUAUGAGCUAUCACCUGAGGAUGAGUCCAUGGCCUAUCAGCUUGUUGGUGAGGUAAGAGCUCACCAAGGCUAUGACGGGUAGCUGGUCUGAGAGGACGACCAGCCACACUGGGACUGAGACACGGCCCAGACUCCUACGGGAGGCAGCAGUGGGGAAUAUUGGGCAAUGGGCGAAAGCCUGACCCAGCGACGCCGCGUGGGUGAUGAAGGCCUUCGGGUUGUAAAGCCCUUUCGUGCGGAAAGAACAGCCCUGUAGCUAAUAUCUGCAGGGUUUGACGGUACCGCAGGAAGAAGCACCGGCUAACUCCGUGCCAGCAGCCGCCGUAGUAA
rnacentral:rRNA from 1 species